rnacentral:rRNA from 1 species
ACGCUCGACACCUACGGGAGGCAGCAGUGGGAAUAUUGGGCAAUGGAGGCAACUCUGACCCAGCAACGCCGCGUGAAUGAUGAAGGUCUUCGGAUUGUAAAGUUCUGUGACGGGGGACGAACACAAUGACGGUACCCCGACAGCAAGCCACGGCUAACUACGUGCCAACAGCCGCGGUAAUCUGAGCGGGCUGGCAAGGC